GCCGGCAUGGCGGAAUGGCAGACGCGGAGCACUCAAAAUGCUUUGUCCGAGAGGGCGUGAGGGUUCGAGUCCCUCUGCCGGCA
rnacentral:tRNA from 1 species